AUACGGAGGGUGCAAGCGUUACUCGGAAUCACUGGGCGUAAAGCGCGCGCAGGCGGCUAUUUAAGUUGGAUGUGAACGCCCACGGCUCAACCGUAGAACUGCAUCCAAAACUAUUUAGCUAGAGUGUGGGAGAGGAAGAUGGAAUUAGUUGUGUAGGGGUAAAAUCCGUAGAGAUAACUAGGAAUACCAAAAGCGAAGGCAAUCUUCUGGAACACUACUGACGCUGAGGCGCGAAAGCGUGGGGAGCAAACGGGAUUAGAAACCCUAGUAGUCC
rnacentral:rRNA from 1 species